GAAGUGAUUGUUUUUGCGGUGAAAAUCACGUUUUAUAAAAAAAAAAUUAAAAAUUUUUCUUUAUUUUCUUCUAUUUUGAUGCAUAUUAAAAAUAAUUUUUUGCUAUAUAUAUAUAUAUAUAUUAAUUUUUUUUUUGCUGAAAGUGCUACACUGACAAUUACAAACACUAUCUUCAUGUCAGAUAUCAAUAGCAUGGGAAGGAAGGAGAGGUGGGAGUUUUGCCAAUCCAUUACUAGUUACUACUUUCCAGGUUGUUGCUCAUACUCAGGUAAGUCCCAUUGAAGUUUUAGAUUGUUAAUUGUUGUUUCUUUUUUCUUUCCUAUUUUUAAUGCUUAAUGCCCUGUUUUGAAUAUGAAUGCAAUUUCAAAUUCUUUGAUUCACAUCAAUGGAGUUGUCAGGGUUUUUUUUUGGUGAUAUGUUAUGUAUUUCUAAUAUCUGACUUGUAAGAAUUCAAGUGCGUGGAGUAUAUUCCUCGGCUUUUAUUUUUCAUUUUCUUGUCCCUUUGUUCCUCUCAUUUUCAUGAGCCUCAAAAUCAUGUGUAAAUCGUGAAGGGUCCAGCAUGGUUUCAUGCCAUGUUUCAUUGUUUCUCAAGGUCCUGGGAGAAACCUUUAGAUUUGAUCAUGGGCUCGUUGUUGAGACUUCCAAUUGUAUGCUUUUUGAAUGCUCUGUGAUAUUUUAGUCCUUGCUUUUAUCAAUGUAAGAUUGGCUCAGGUUAGGGACCUUUAUUUUUUCAAGAUUCUUCGGUGGUUUUUGGUUUCUGGGGUUUUCUCCAGCUUCGUUCAUAGUUAGUUUCCUUAUUAAAGCACCUUUGUUCGAUAUUAGCUGUCAUGCUAGACACAUUAGUGCUCUGGGGAUGGUGUUUUUUCAUGUGUCUAUUGCUUUCUUUACCUUGGUGUGCGAUGCGCAAGUGUUUUUCCUAUCUCUCUCGAGGGAAAUCUUUCAUGGAUCUUACGUGUGUUGUUUCUGUUUCUGUCUUGCAUACUGAUUCAGUUUCCUUUUCCUUUUCUGUGAUGUUUGCCAUCCUGUUGACAAAUCUUGACGGUCGAUAAUGUUCCUGAUGUUGUUUUGCACCGUUACCCUGCCUGUUUAUGGUCUCUAGCUUGUACCAUCGCUGCUCAUGUUGUUCUUGCCUCCAAUCUUGAGUUUUUUUCAUCAUUCUGCCAUUGUUUCCGUCUGUGCACGAUGCCUUUCACUAACAAACAAAUGUACUCUGCUGUUUAUUACAUCACCAACCAAUUCAGGUAUCUUUCUUAUUUUAGUUACUCUGCGAUGCCGUGAUUGAUGACCGUUUUACUCUGCGACGGUCUGCUCACUGUUUUAUUUCAUUCUUCAUCACUUAGAUAAAUUCAUGCACCAUGGUUUGGUGCUCCCAUCAUUGGUUUUAUUAAAGGAAUGGACAGCACGCUGCUAUGAAGUCUACUUGAAAGGAACUGUGAGUAUACAUAGUUAUGUGUGCAUUGGUAAUACGUAAGCGAAGAAGAGAGGGGGUAAGAGCUGCAAUGAAGAUAAAGUGUCACUUAGGCAAAUAGAUGGGUUGGGUUAGGUAAGAAUCUGUGUACGUGACCUGAAGAAAAAAAUUAAAUUUUUGAGAUUGGCAAUCAAAUGAAGAUAAUACAGGCUCCACGUACAGAAAAAGCAACAUGAGAAAGUUCAAGAGAUGAUAAUUGCUACUAGAAACCAUGAUAUAUUAGUUAAAAAGAACAAACUAAGGAGCUAAAGUAUGAAAGAUAUGGGAACAUGAAUGAACAUGUACUGGAAAAUCAGGAUGGAAAAUAAAGGAUGUCAAGGUUUUAUGAUUCCAAAAACUGAUUGUAUUUUAUUUUCAUUUAUGUUUUGUCUAACCCUUCCCAUCUUCUCCAGCUUUUAGUGAUUCAGUGGCGCAUUACCUAUCUUUCCAGCAACACCAUUGUUGUGACAUCUUCAUUCCCAAAUCUCAAGCAUACAUGUACUUUGCAGGAUCCCUUGAGCUACAGCGCGCAAGUUGUGGAAAAACAACGAUCAUUCCUCUUUGAAGAUGACUAUUCCAGCUUUCGGCAUAGUUUUAAAACCUAGCCUAGUAGGUCGAUCAAGGACUUGGCUGAUCUUAAACUGGCCAGCUUUAAGUAAAGAUAGGGGAACAACAUUGUUUUGCUUUUUAAAAAAAAAAAUCAUUUACUAUAUAUUUUUUUAACAAAAACAACAUUGUUUUGUUUUUUUAAAAAAAAAAUUAGCUUGGUCAAAAUUUUAAUCAUAGGAUCAGGUUUAAAAAAACUAUGAUUUUCAGCCGUGUAGUUGACUUUGAAUUUUGGUACUUGCAGAUUUUCCCGGAGUCCUUUCUCGUUAGAUUUAGGAUUUUGGUCCGUUUGGUUUUUGUCUGGACAAGUCCUCGACUUGUUAACAAAAAACACUUUCAUAUUAUAGCUCACGGGCUGUUCUUAUGCUAUGCAGUCUGAUCUUUUGUCACCAAAAAUGUUUAGCCUGGUUUAUUUAUUUUGCUACACAGAACUCGCUUUUUAUGUAUUAGCCUUAUUAAUGUUGUUGAAGUAGAUGCGUUUGUAGCAUUUGUUCAACCAAGCGCAGGCACUGAUACUAGCUUAUUACCAUCGGAGAUGGCGAGAGAGGGAGGCAGAGCAUGGUUGUUUUUUGGGUGGCAGAUACGCAGGCACAAGGUUGUCUCCUCGAAACCAAAUGCAUGCACCGACAAAGAAAUACAACACUUUUCAUCCCUCGUCAUAUUUUAGCAAAAUCCAAAAGCAGAAAAAUGAUUUCAUUUUUAGCGUUAUGCAAAGAGAGAUGCAGCAAGAUAGAGGAGUGAGUGAAGAUGUGGAGCCAAAUUAAGAAGGCAGAUUGAAGCCGACGCAGGGAGAUGAUCAACAGCAGUAGCAUCCACAGAAGUGCCAGUCGCUGUCUCUCUGAAUACUUUGUUUUUUGGUUCUGAAUAUAAAGUUUUCUUAUUAAAACAAUUGAGGUUUGUUUGAAAUAAUGUGAUGUAAUGUAAUCAGUAAUGGAAACUGUAAUAGUGAACAACACAGUGAGAAUCAAA